rfam:Clostridiales bacterium GWD2_32_59 gwd2_scaffold_377, whole genome shotgun sequence.
GCACACGUAGCUCAGUAGGAUAGAGCGCUCCCCUCCUAAGGGAGAGGCCGUGGGUUCGACUCCCGCCGCGUGCA